GAUGAACGCUGGCGGUAUGCUUAACACAUGCAAGUCGAACGGACUCUUCGGAGUUAGUGGCGGACGGGUGAGUAACGCGUGAGAAUCUGGCUUUGGGUUCGGGACAACCACUGGAAACGGUGGCUAAUACCGGAUGUGCCGAGAGGUAAAAGAGAAAUUGCCUGAAGAUGAGCUCGCGUCUGAUUAGCUAGUUGGUGAGGUAAAGGCUCACCAAGGCAGCGAUCAGUAGCUGGUCUGAGAGGAUGACCAGCCACACUGGGACUGAGACACGGCCCAGACGACUACGGGAGGCAGCAGUGGAGAAUUUUCCGCAAUGGGCGAAAGCCUGACGGAGCAAUACCGCGUGAGGGAAGAAGGCUCUUGGGUUGAAAACCUCUUUUCUUAGGGAAGAACAAAAUGACGGUACCUAAGGAAUCAGCAUCGGCUAACUCCGUG
rnacentral:rRNA from 1 species